rnacentral:lncRNA from 1 species
UCUCCCAAUUGCUAUCUUUUCCUCAAAUGAUACUCUUAGACAGUCAUCAUGUUUAUUGUGGGACCAAAACAAAGGUAAUUGGGCACCAUAGCCAGAAUAAUUAAAUUCAGUCACAUAAUUGGGAGAAAUAUGAGUGUCUGUAAAUCCUCCCAUCAUAAAUGGGUCAUUAGUAAACACUGGGAUGGAUUCUCCAGUCCACACAGCUGGGUGUACUAGUGGUGGAUCUGGAAAACAGGUCCAAUAAGUGUCUGCUUGACUCCCUUUUACCUGACAGCUGAGUAAAUGCUAUUACUGCAGCAAACAACAUCAUUGGAGUCUUAUUUCUCCCUAGGAGCUGAAUCAUUCGCGAAUCGUGUGUUGUCAGCUUCUUCAGGUCUUCCCACGAGAUCAGCUUUUCCGCUGGGUCUUGCUGGGUCAUUUUCUUCCUUUUUUGAAAUCGCUUCCUUUUGAGGGAAGGGUUCACCGGGUCAAUCUUCAGUCGUGUGAAUCUUGGUUCUAUUUCCUCCAUGUCUCAUUGCACUUUCAGGCACCCAAAUAGGACGAAAAGCACCUUCUGAGGCUGCUGAUGAAGUGUUUGUUUUAAAGCCCAGCAAGUAUAAAACCUUGUAGGUGAGUCGGGCGAAUAUCCAAGCAGAGGGGAAUAAUGAAUUCUGAAAUUGUCCCUUUUUUCUUAUGGGGCCUGAGAACGUCCUGACAGAGUUUAUUUGCAUUUUCCAUGGCUAGCUGCUUAACAAUAAACUCACAAGCACCCGGAUCCCCUAUUGAUCUUUGGUCGUUUGAUACAGGCGCUGCACAAAAUCGGCAUAUAGCUCCUCUUAUCUUAGUCAAAACUAAACUAAACUGGUUCUGGGAGGCAAUUUGUUGCCACGUGAGUUUAGCGCAUGCGGUUAUCUUAUCAUAAACUGCAAAUUCAUAAUUCAACUGUCUUUCCAAGUCCUGAAAUUAGCCCGUCCCCAUAAGCAUCUCUAAGGGGGUCUCAAUAUUUUGCCUUCCGUUUCUCUCUGCCUGCUCUGUACAAAAAUCCAUCCAAUAUGAUUUCCAAAGGAGGAAAUCUCCACUGCUCAAGCAAGAUCCAGCGAUAGAUACCCAAUCCCUUGGUGGGAGGGGCUGAUGACAAACUGACUGGAGCAAGCUUUGUACAAAUGGCGAAUUAGGGCUGUAAACAUCACAAGGGUAUUGUAACUCUUUUAUAGUUUUAAAAGGAUUUAUAGCAUAUAUGUGGACACGCUAAUCUUGCACGUUAACCUGUUCAAAAACUGGGAAAAACUGAAACCCGUUAAUGUAUUCCCCCACCUCCUGCACUCUCCUGAACCCAUGUUCAAAGUACCUACUAAAAUUUGUUCUCCCAACUGGAUGUGGCCCAAUUGAAUAGCUGGCACUGGUCCUGCUAGACAUAAUCUAUUAAAAUUUCCUGAUAAUUCCUGAAUUUCAUCGUCUGAUUGCUUUCCUUCUUACUGGGACUCCUCACCUGUAUCCUCAUUGCCAUCUUGAUUUCUCUUCCCAAAGCUUCCAAGGGGAAUGCUUAUCUCUUUAGACACCUCCACUGAGAUUUCCUGGCUUUCCUCCAGAGGGCGUUUCUUUAAGUCUGGGAUCUUACUUUUUUGAUGUAGUCAUUUAUUGCUAUAAGCUUUACCUCUUAGAGCUAUUUUUGCUGCAUCCCACAAGUUUUGACAUGUUGUAUUUCCAUUUUUAUUUGCCUCAGGACAUUUUGUUUUAUUUCAUUUUUUCAGUACAUUAAACAGAAGCAAUCCACUACUGAGCUAUAUCCUUAGCUUUUGAAAUUUUCAAAAAAGAAUUUGAGACAGGGUCUUGCUGUGUUUCCCAGGCUGGCCUUAAACUUGUGGUCCUCCUGCUUCAACCUCCUGAUGUGCUGCGAUUAUAGGUGAAUGCCACCAUACCCAGGUUAUCUUGGGACAUUUUAAAAGUUCUCUUUUAAUUUCACUUCCUUCAUUGACCCAUGAACAUGUUGUUGAAUUUCCAUGUGUAUGUGAAGUUUUUGAAAUUGCCCAUUGUUGAUUUCUAGUUUUACACCACUGUGGUCAGAAAAGAUACUUUGUAUGAUCCAUUUUCUUAAAUUUGUUAAGACUAGUUUUGUGGCCUGUUCUAGGAUCUAUCCUGAGGAAUGCCCCAUGUAUAAUUGAGAAGAAUGUGCAUUCUGCUGAUGUUGGAUGGAAUAUUUUGUAUAGAUACAUUUGGUCUAAAUUUUAGUUUAAAUCUGAAGUUUCCUUAUUGAUUUUCUGCCAAGAUGGUAUGUAAGGAUUAUUAAUAUGUAAGGAUUUACUAUUGUCACUUUGUUUUCUGAUUGUUAGGUUCUUUGUUCCUCUCUUCCAUGGUUAUUAAAAAAGUCUAGUGAUAUGUUUUAAUUCCUUACUUUUAAUCUUUUUUAAAAAACAUUAUGUUUUAUUUGUA